rnacentral:rRNA from 1 species
GGGCAUGCGGCAGCUACCAUGCAGUCGUACGAGAAAGGGGCUUCGGCCCUGAGUAGAGUGGCGCACGGGUGAGUAACGCGUGGGUAAUCUACCCUUGGAUUUGGGAUAACUCUGCGAAAGUGGAGCUAAUACCGGAUAGUCUGGCUUUAAAUAAGAAGUCGGUAAAGGAUGCCUCUGCAUAUGCAUUCGUCCGAGGAUGAGCCCGCGUCUCAUUAGCUAGUUGGUAGGGUAAUGGCCUACCAAGGCAACGAUGAGUAGCUGGUCUGAGAGGAUGAUCAGCCACACUGGAACUGAAACACGGUCCAGACUCCUACGGGAGGCAGCAGUGGGGAAUAUUGCGCAAUGGGCGAAAGCCUGACGCAGCAACGCCGUGUGAGGGAUGAAGGCUUUCGGGUCGUAAACCUCUGUCGGAAGGGAAGAACGGGCAUUGGUCUAAUAGGCCUUUGUUUUGACGGUACCUUUAGAGGAAGCACCGGCUAACUCCGUGCCAGCAGCCGCGGUAAUACGGAGGGUGCAAGCGUUAUUCGGAAUUACUGGGCGUAAAGCGCACGUAGGCGGCCUUGUAAGUCAGGGGUGAAAUCCCACGGCUCAACCGUGGAACUGCCUUUGAAACUGCAGGGCUUGAAUCCUGGAGAGGGUGGCGGAAUUCCUGGUGUAGGAGUGAAAUCCGUAGAUAUUAGGAGGAACACCGGUGGCGAAGGCGGCUCUCUGGACCGAUACUGACGCUGAGACGCGAAAGCGUGGGUAGCAAACAGGAUUAGAUACCCUGGUAGUCCACGCCGUAAACGAUGAGUACUAGGUGUUGCGGGUAUUGACCCCU